GAGACGAUGGCCACUGUGAGAGAACGGUUGAAUCUCUGCCACUCGCGAUCUCCUCUGUUCACAAUCUCCUCCGGCAACGAUCCCCUCCAACGAUGACCUCCUCCGGCGACGUCUCCUCCAGCAAUGGUCUCCUCACGCGACAUCUCCUCAUAUGACAUCUCCUCCAGCGACAUCUCCUCUAGUGACGUCUCCUCCGGCGACGUCUUCUCCAGCGACAAUUUCCUCCGACAACGUUCUCCUACGCGGCAAUCUCGUCCAUCGAGCUACUAUGCUGCGAGUUUCUCCACCGCUCCCAGACUCGCGAGGUAGGUUCUUCUCCCUUUUUUCCUUUGUUCUGUUGAAAAAAUUUCAUUCUGAUCGAUUGUCUUAGGCUUGCUUUAGAUUGGAUGAAAAAAUUUAAUUAAAUUGGUUUAAAUCUCAGCAUAGUAGUCAAAAUAGGUUGCUUACUUUUCUCUUUAUUUUGCUUGCAAUGUUUCUUGUUCUGCUUUGGGAGAAGAUAAUGGUUUGAUUGGUCAAUUUGAUGGUGGAUUCUACUCUGCUUUUCUUGUUGCCGAGAAGAUUGUUGUUUCUACCAUUGAUCUGAUAAGCAAUAUGUAUGGGAAGCAGUUGCUGACAGUAACUCCUAUGUGAUUACACUCUACUUAAAAGUGAAAUACCAAAGGAAAUUGAGUUGUUAUUUGGAUUGGUUUUAUUGAACUUAUUAAGGAACAGUCUCAACGAUGAAAUCAUCUCUAACACCGGGAACUUACAAUCACUAGAGUUUCUUGAUUUGUCAAGAAAUCAUUUGUCAGGCAAAAUCCCUUCAAGUCUCUCCAAAAUUGAUCGUCUUGCUAUGUUAGACUUGUCAAACAAUGAUCUUGAUGGCAAAAUUCCAAUUGGAACACAACUGGAGAGUUUCGAUCCUGCAACUUAUGAAGAAAACCCCAAUCUUUAUGGAGAACCUCUUAACAAGAAAUGUCAAAAAUUUAUCAAUGUGUUUGAGUAUUAUCAAUGUGUUUGAGUUAGGUACUUGGUUUUUCAACUUUCUGUCUCAUUGAGAUCACUGAAGCCUACUUAUACACAGUUUCCAUUUGGUACAAGAGCAUGUUCUGCUCGGACUACAAUUUUUAUAUAUGCUACAGCUUUUGUAAGUUGUUUACUCUCUCUAUGUCCUCUUCUUUUUAAUUUAUUUUUUCUAAUUCCAUUAUUCCACUCGUUUAUGUGUUUGAAAUUGGAGUAUAACCACCAUGUAAAUUAUAUUUGUUUUGUACUCACCUAUAAUGCAUAUAAUUACAUUACAUUUGGGAGGAAGACCAAGACCGCACCCUCACGUGCCUCUUUGAUCGAGACCCCAGUCCUCUGGCUUGGCAGGCUCUGCAUCUUCUACGCCCUCCUUAAGGCUGGGCUGGCUGGAUCUCAUGCCAACCCACUUGUCUCAGAAUUGAAAAUCAGUGACGGCAAUGAUUCUGCUGAUUUAGGGUUCUCUAAAUGGACACAUGCUAUACUUGAAAAACCAGGUCUGAUUGAGCUGUUUUCUUUUUGGGAUAUUGGGAACUAUUACGGUGUUCAGCUUCUUGAUGCUUCAGUGACAAAGUACCAAGAUUAUGGUCGCUGAAAGAAAUUAUAUGAGACAAGAUGUUCUCCACAUUUAAUUUAUAUCCCCCACCCCUCUUCUGUUUCUCUAACUGUGGUUAUACAUGUGCAUGAAGAAACUAAGAGAUGAGCUUACCAGAGCACUAAUGGAGGCAAAUGAGGGUAAUGAUGAUAUAGGAGCUGAGUCAUUCAAUGAACUUGUGAAAGAGUUUACCUAAAAAUAAGACCUUAACACUUUUGCUUUCAAGACCAAAGCCAUGUUCAAAAUUUGGAUGCAUUAUCAUAGUAAAGAUGGUGAUAUCAAGAUUUGUUCAGGGCAAGGGAAGGGUAUUGCAAGUUGAAUUCAUUGGCUAAGGUUUAAAGAACAUGCAAUAUUGCAGUGAAAUAUUCAUCGGAAAGUUCCUUGGCAUGUUUUAGAUCUUCUUGAACUCUUGCUGUUAGCUACUUUACUUUGAAAGCUUCAAGUUUUAAUAUUUGCUGGGAAAGAAAAAAGAAGGGAAAUUAUCAUUUGAAAGAGGGAUUGGAUCAAGAGAUUGGAAUUUCAUCACCAAGAGAGUUAGGAAGUAGGUCUUCUGGAGCGAGCAACAAAGAAGCAUGAUCUUGUAUGAUAAAGAUUUUUAUAAUUUUUGAAAUUAUUGAAAAAUGUUAUCUUUGAUAUUUUGUUUUUGGAUUAUAAUUUUUUAUUUUUGGAGACUAUGUAUGAAUUAAAAAUCUUGUUAUGAUGUUUGA